rnacentral:rRNA from 1 species
UACGUAGGGCGCAAGCGUUGUCCGGAAUUACUGGGCGUAAAGGGCGUGUAGGCGGCCUUUUAAGUCAGACGUGAAAACCCUGGGCUUAACCCAGGAACUGCGUUUGAAACUGGAAGGCUUGAGGACCGGAGAGGGUAGUGGAAUUCCCAGUGUAGCGGUGAAAUGCGUAGAUAUUGGGAGGAACACCAGUGGCGAAGGCGACUGCCUGGACGGCACCUGACGCUGAGGCGCGAAAGCUAGGGGAGCAAACGGG